GAUGAACGCUGGCGGCGUGCCUAUACAUGCAAGUCGAGCGAACGGACGAGAAGCUUGCUUUUCUGAUGUUAGCGGCGGACGGGUGAGUAACACGUGGAUAACCUACCUAUAAGACUGGGAUAACUUCGGGAAACCGGAGCUAAUACCGGAUAAUAUUUUGAACCGCUUGGUUCAAAAGUGAAAGACGGUCUUGCUGUCACUUAUAGAUGGAUCCGCGCUGCAUUAGCUAGUUGGUAAGGUAACGGCUUACCAAGGCAACGAUGCAUAGCCGACCUGAGAGGGUGAUCGGCCACACUGGAACUGAGACACGGUCCAGACUCCUACGGGAGGCAGCAGUAGGGAAUCUUCCGCAAUGGGCGAAAGCCUGACGGAGCAACGCCGCGUGAGUGAUGAAGGUCUUCGGAUCGUAAAACUCUGUUAUUAGGGAAGAACAUAUGUGUAAGUAACUGUGCACAUCUUGACGGUACCUAAUCAGAAAGCCACGGCUAACUACGUG
rnacentral:rRNA from 1 species